GGGACAUGGAUGAAGCUGAAAACCAUCAUUCUCAGCAAACUAACACAGGAACAGAAACCAAACACCACAUGUUCUCACUCAUAAGUAGAAGCUGAACAAUGAGAACACAUGGACACAAGCUCUCCAAAACCAUGAGGGAGAAGAAGUCAGAGAAUAAUGAAGUUCUUCCUUACGUGAUGUGCUUCUUAUUCCCAAGCUAUCUUUGUACUCUGGACCUGGCUGAUGUUGAAAGCAGAGCAUUCACAUGAGCAUUUUCUGGGUUCUUUAGAGGCUCCCCUGCUGGAAUCCCUCAAUUGUAAGUUUCCAGAAGUUGCUGCUGGUUUUCAGCAGUUCACUACAUGCAGAAUCUCUCCAUUGAACUUUAAAAAAAUGACCCCCAGACUGAAAAUUGCUUUGAAUAGUUGCAUUCUGACACCUUGUAUUGGAACUUCAUAUCAGCUGUGUUAUGUGUCCAUGGUGGAAAAUUCCAAUUAAACAUUAAAUUAUAUAUAAGAAAGAAAAUGAAGUUGAUUUCUAGUUCCAAAUGACCUACACAGAAAUAACAGUUGUAUAUAGGUUUGCACAUACUUUACAAACAUUUUUAGGUAUGUAGAAACAAUGUAUACACACACAUGCACACACACAUUAGUGCAAAUGCUAGUGUAUGCAUAUCCAUAUGUAUUGUAUGUGUGUAUAUAGAUAUACAUAUGUGCAAAUAUAUAAUGUAUAUGCAUAUAUGCAGUGGAUGUAUGUGCACAUACAUCUUCUAUGUGUGUGUGUGUGUGUGUG
ensembl:lncRNA novel transcript